rnacentral:rRNA from 1 species
UAGAUACCCUGGUAGUCCACGCGGUAAACGAUGGAUGCUCGUUGUCGGCCUUUGUGGUCGGUGACCAAGCGAAAGCGUUAAGCAUCCCACCUGGGGAGUACGCCGGCAACGGUGAAACUCAAAGGAAUUGACGGGGGCCCGCACAAGCGGAGGAACAUGUGGUUUAAUUCGAUGAUACGCGAGGAACCUUACCCGGGCUUGAACUGCGGCGGAACGAUUCCGAGAGGAUGAGGCCCUUCGGGGCUGCCGC